CCUGCCCAAGAGCCCAGCCCCACGGAGAAGCGCUUGAAGGCCUUUUCCCCAGGAGUCCAGCCCUCCCUCCUCUGCCUCCACAGAACCUGGGAAGUGCCAGACGGAGGGAAGAAACUGGACAGCUCUGAGAGAGGGCAGGACCUCCAAGACUGCUGGAGUUUUCCUUGCCUUUCCCCUUUCAGCAGUGCUGGGAAGCAAAGCUUUGUGGCUGAGAGAGUGGACCCACUGCCCACGCUAACGCAGGCCCCUGGAGGCUCAGAGGUGGAAAUUGGGGAUCGGAAGUGGAGGCCGAGAGAGAGAUUCCUCCGUCGCCACCCCUUUCCAUUAAGGAUACACCUUUCUCCCAGGGUGCUCAGCACGUGGGAAUCUUACUUUCUAAACCAUCACCCCCUGCACUGGAAGCACAGAGUCUUAACAACUAGACUGCCAAGAAGUCCCAGAUUUCUUCUUUUUGUAUUCCUUGUUUUACACAUCAGUUCCAGAGAAGGUUCCGCUGAAGCCCCAGAGAAACCACCCAGAGGCCUUUGAAAGCCAGAGGGGCAUAUUUUCUCUGAAGCUCAAUGCCAACUGGUUUUACCAACCCUUAUCCGUUAAGAACAAUCUCAGUGAAGCCGCAUCAAACAAAACAACAGGC
rnacentral:lncRNA from 1 species